CAGCAGUGCCUAAUAUAUUUGGGGCUUCCGCUUCCCAUCUGCAGAUUCUUCCCCUUCCUUCGCGUUUGUCGGCUCUCGUCCCCGCUUCCCUUCGUCGCGCUCUGCCACCGCGUUGCGCCGCCGCCGCCCCUGUCUGCUCUGCCCUGCGCAUCCACCAGCGGUGCAUCUCCUACGGUGGAUCUAGCCGUCGUCAACCCCCAUUGUUAGGAACACAGAGCUUUCCUUUCCUCCGUCCUCAUUGUUCCUCGGUUUACCAAAACCCUAGGUAUGUCGCAUCAGUGUGCCCUGUGCUUGGCGCUUCACCUUCGGCUGGGGUACCCUGCAUUGGAGCCUUCGCUUCGGCUCUGUACGUCUGCGUCUCCCGUUGGUCCUCCAAGAGCGGCGGGCCUGCCGGGCCCUCGCAUUGCUGCCUCCGUUUUUCUCUGGGCGACAGGUGCUUCGGUGGGGUUCUCUACCUUUGCUUCGCCAUCGUCGACGGUCCGGCUUCAACCACGCCGCCGUUCCUCGGGCCAUACUACCUUCCACUCGCUCAACAGUCUGCAUUGUUUUUAUCUACUGGUGAGGAUGCAAAGGAUUAAUGAGAGGAUGGAGGAUGUAGAAGCAUCAAUCCCUGUGUAUGAUAAGGUUCUAGCUUUUGAAAAUAGGAUGGUGGUGGAGGAUUUCACAGCACCAAUGUGAAAAUCCUGAAAUGGAAGGCUACUCAUGCAAUCCAUCAGGCCAAUACAUGAGUUUCCUUUAGUACAAAACAAUAUCGGCUAAAUAUUCCAUCCCUAGCCGUUCAAGCUGACACCUGCUCUGAUCGUCUCGGCUCCAACAAAAUUCUGAAUCGUCAGCUAUAGAUCAUCUGAAUUUAUGAAAAAUCUAGGUAUCUACUACCUUAGGAUGACAUAGAUAUGCCGUUGCUCAAAUACUGAAGAAAAUACAGCCAGCGGAAAACAUACAUUGCAGACAAUGAAGCUCAUGUUACUCAUUGACUGAAACGAAAGGCCUCAUCCAGUAAACUGAUCACUUAUGGGAACAAACCAGUUAGCAUGUUGCUCCGUCAACAACUUUCAGCGUGUUCAGACUUCACAGCCGAAAGCUUCGGUUAUAGCUUCGUCGAUCACAUGCAGUUGUGUACUUCUUGCAUAACUAAAAAACAAACAUGCUACCCUAUUUGUGUGUGGAACCGCGUCUUGGUCUGUAAAUCAAAAUUCAAUUUGCACGAGCACCUGCACUUCAACUACAUUUUAUAUUUGUUAUUUA